rnacentral:tRNA from 1 species
UAGUAUGAAGUAUAAGUAAGUUUAUAUGUUUUUACUUACAAUAAAAAAGAACUCAUAAGAGCAUACUAU